UUUUACCUAUGGAAACCCUUUAUUUAGAAAGAUUUUCUUUGGGUUUGUAUUUUUGGAUUCCCUUCUAUUGUUUCAUUAUUCUCAUGAAAACAUUUGUUUUAUAGGGAAAAAAAAACGUAUAUAUUUUGAUUGCAUAACAAUGUUUGAAUUCGAAGGAAAUGAUGAUCCUUUCCUUUGCUGGUUGUCAUAGUUCGAACAAAUUGACCUUUUUGCUCUUGGCUUGGCGCUUUGUAUCUAAUAUUUUCUUCUUCCUUAAGCUAUAAGAAGAAACCGCAAUAGGAUCUCUCACUCUCAGCUUUUUGUAGACCUAGCCGGAGCCGCCACACCGAUAACUAAUAACAAUGAGCAAGAGACCCUCUGGGACCACGCAAGCAUUUUUCGUCUUCUCAGCCUUGGCGAUGGGUUGGCUCGCCAUUGAGAUGGCUUUCAAACCCUUCCUCGAUAAGGCCCGCUCCGCCAUGGACAAAUCUGAUCCCGCUCGGGAUCCUGACGAACUUGUCGAUAACCAAUCCGAUCACACCUCAUCUGAUGACGAUCAAAGUACCACUGUCACUUCUUAAACCAGCAAUCUCAAGAUCAUCGUAGUCGUGAUAAACGGUUGAAAGGUUUCUAGAAGCACGAUCAUAACGGUUAGUUGGAGCAAGUGAUGAAUGGUCAGAUGGUGGCUUGAAGCAUGGUCAUCGAAGGGGGUGAUGAACACUCGGACAGAGCCCCAAGUGCGGGAGAGAGAGGGAGGGAAGAAGGAAGAAGCAUGCGGGAGAAAGAGAGGGAAGAAGGCAGUGAGAGUGGGUGGGGGUGCGGGGGUAGUGCUACCUCAGCUUAUUGCAUAAGCCAAAGGUUAGUAUUGAAUUUAUUGUUUUCAAAAUUUGGGUCAUACGACAGUAACACAAUGCAGACUUGGGUCAUACAACAGCAACACAAUGCAGAUUGGAUCAUCUGUACAAAAAAAACUCAUAAACUACAAUCCGUUAGCCUAUUUCAGUUUUUGAAAAUCCAUCAUCUGAUAUGUCUUCUCGUUUCCUUUUAUUUCUUCGUGAAGGAGGGUGGCUCAUCUGUUGGGACAAAAAGGAAGGAAUGGAGAGACAACGAUGCAAAUGGUUGCAUCUGAAUUAUUGAAUAAACAUGAUCAAAGCGAGAGAGCUUUCAUCUAUCUGGGUGUAGCGUUUGGAAAAAAGAAAAAAAAGAUUCUACAAAUAAACAUUUUUCCAGCCAAUCUUUGAGCUUCUUGUUCUAAUUUCUGAAAUGUUAAGAUAUGAUUGCGAGAUUUUUGUUUUCUGAAUUAGAGUAACUCCAACAUUAAACACGACUCAUCUGCUUUGACUUAGUUGAACAACCAUACAUCUAACACUUGUUGCUUUUUCAAGCAUCAUAUCAUAGAAAAACACCAAACAGCAUCCUGAUAUCUUCCUUUAAAAAGAAAAAGUAAAAAGACAAUUCCCAGUCUGGACCAAUCCAAAUAAGACAAAUGAAAGACAAGGAAGUGAAUAACAUUCAGACCACUAGUCUAAUCAUCGAAUGGGUAUUGCUCAUACCUAAUUGUACAGUCAUUGAGCACUGAACGACCCCCAAUUCUCUUUUGACACGAGCCCAACAUGUUGUUCUUAGCAGCCUCAAGACAAGAAGUGCAGUCUGAGGUCGUGAGAUUCUGGUUGCAGGAAGCAUGACCAUAAGCGAAGGCAUUAGGAUAAGGAGAUAUGUUGUAGAAAUCAUAGUUCUUUAUAGUGGGAGUUGCACUCUGCAAUUCUUUUAGAACGUAAUCCAGACUCACUGCAAAAGGAUCUCCCCCUGUGAAAGUUCCGGAAUUGCACAAAACUGACCUCACUCCAGUGUUCGGAAUGCUCACCACCAUAAUAGACACCGCAAAGAAAGCGAGAAAAGCCACUGAAAUCUUCAGACUAGAACCAAUCAUCCUUCUUCUUCUCUUGAUUUUGAUCUGCUUUACGUUUAAAAAGGCAUUUGACGUUGAAGCAGAAGGGGGUCCCUAGAUAAUCAUAAUAUGGAGAUCCUCAAUACUAUGAACCAAUAAGGAAGAAGAUUUUGGGGGCCAAUAUGGAGUCUUAGUAUGUAGUUAUAGUUUUACUUUUUGUGAUGUGAUUGCAAUGGGAGCACUGGAACCUGUAUAUUGUAGUGUGAUCACUUGAGACAGAGUUGUUGAUUCAAAAGUUGAGAUUGAGGGACCUUUAGCUAAUUUCAGAAAACUAGAAAUUCUAAAAUCAAAGUCAUCUGUUAUUCUCUUAUUUAACUAUGUUGAAAUGGUUUUGAUCUCAUCUCCUGUAUCAAGUAAAAAGUUGGAAGUUGGAAAGUUAUGUUCUCUAACAGUUUAGAAGCGAA